GCUACCAUGCAGUCGAACGGUAACAGGGAGCUUGUUGCUGCUUUGCUGACCAGUGGCGGACGGGUGAUUAAUGUCUGGGAAACUGCCUGAUGGAUGGGGAUAACUACUGGAAACGGUAACUAAUACCGCAUAACGUCGCAAGACCAGAGAGGGGGACCUUCGGGCCUCUUGCAAUCGGAUGUGCCCAAAUGGGAUUAGCUAGUAGGUGGGGUAACGGCUCACCUAGGCGACGAUCCCUAGCUGGUCUGAGAGGAUGACCAGCCACACUGGAACUGAGACACGGUCCAUACUCCUACGGGAGGCAGCAAUGGGGAAUAUUGCACAAUGGGCGCAAGCCUGAUGCAGCCAUGCCGCGUGUAUGGAGAACGCCUUCGGGUUGUAAAGUACUUUCAGCGAGGAGGAAGGUGUUGAGGUUAAUAACCUCAGCAAUUGACGUUACUCGCAGAACAAGCACCGGCUAACUCCGUGCCAGCAGCCGCGGUAAUACGGAGGGUGCAAGCGUUAAUCGGAAUUACUGGGCGUAAAGCGCACGCAUGCGGUUUGUUAAGUCAGAUGUCAAAUCCCCGGGCUCAACCUGGGAACUGCAUUUGAAACUGGCAAGCUUGAGUCUCGUAGAGGGGGGUAGAAUUCCAGGUGUAGCGGUGAAAUGCGUAUAGAUCUGGAGGAAUACCGGUGGCGAACGCCGGCCCCUGGACUAAGACUGACGCUCAGGUGCGAAAGCGUGAGGAGCAAACAGGAUUACAUACCCUGGUAGUCCACGCUGAAGACGAUGUCGACUUGGAGGUUGUGCCCCUUGAGGCGUGGCUUCAGGAGCUAACGCGUUAAGUCGCCGCCUGGGGAGUACGGCCGCAAGUUAAAACUCUAAUGAGUGACGGCGGCCCGCACGAGCGGUGGAGCAUGUGUUUAAUUCGAUGCAACGCGAGAUCCUUACUACUCGUGACAUCACCUGACUUAUCAGAGAUGAUUCGUGCAUACGGGACCAUGAGACAGCGCUGCAUGGCUGUCGUCAGCUCGUGAU
rnacentral:rRNA from 1 species